GACGAACGCUGGCGGCGUGCCUAACACAUGCAAGUCGAACGGGGUAAUUUCUUCGGAGAUUACUUAGUGGCGAACGGGUGAGUAACGCGUGAGAAACCUGCCUUUCAGUGGGGGACAACAGUUGGAAACGACUGCUAAUACCGCAUAAUGUCAUUUGGGGGCAUCCCUGAAUGACCAAAGGUUUAUUGCUGAAAGAUGGUCUCGCGACUGAUUAGCUAGUUGGUGAGGUAACGGCUCACCAAGGCGACGAGCAGUAGCCGGUCCGAGAGGAUGAACGGCCACAUUGGUACUGAGGGACGGCCCAGACUCCUACGGGAGGGAGCAGUGGGGAAUAGUGGGCAAUGGGGGAAACCCUGACCCAGCAACGCCGCGUGAAGGAAGAAGUCCUUCGGGUUGUAAACUUCUUUUACCAGGGACGAACAAAUGACGGUACCUGGAGAAAAAGCAACGGCUAACUACGUGCCAGCCGCCGCAGUAACAC
rnacentral:rRNA from 1 species